GACGAACCGUGCGAACGUUGUUCGGAAUCACUGGGCUUAAAGGGCGCGUAGGCGGGCUGUCCAGUCUGGGGUGAAAUCCCGCGGCUCAACCGUGGAACUGCCUCAGAUACUGACGGCCUCGAGGGAGAUAGGGGCAUGCGGAACUGUAGGUGGAGCGGUGAAAUGCGUUGAUAUCUAACAGGAACUCCGGUGGCGAAGGCGGCGUGCUGGAUCUCUUCUGACGCUGAGGCGCGAAAGCUAGGGGAGCAAACGGG
rnacentral:rRNA from 1 species